GUCUGUGCCCUAGUCAAGCCAUUCAUCAAUGGAGUGAGGAUGUUACACUUGGCGUGCACAAUCACGUGGCAAUGAGUUGAAUCUUACAAUGGUACUGCUUGUCUGGCCAAGCCUUGCUUCCCCCAGGAGAACAGACCUCACAUUGGGGCGUGGAGCAACAGAUGCCCGGCUUUAUACCAGCAUUCAGCCUCCCUCGGCCUGCCUGACAGCCUUUUCAUGCACCAUAGAUUCAUCUGUUUCAAUGAAACCCCAGAGCAAAGCUGCGAAAGACUCUGCUACAAGAUGGUGAAGCUUCUGUCCACCAGGCUUCCUGAGCAACUAUGGAGCAGCAUGUCAGUGGACCAAUGUCAACCAUGUAGCAUGAAUGAUAAAUCAACUUGUUUUUUGAGCUUCUAGAUGGGAUCGUAUUUUACCCCAGCACAAUUUAGCUAAUCCUGACUAAACUAAGGAGUAAGCAACUAAAUAUCUUAGAGAGAGCCAAACUCUAAAAUUAAAAAUGAAACGGAGACAAAAACCUCACAAUCUCAGAUUCUCAAUAGCUCUCUAAGCAGGAAUUUGCUUUAAUCAGCUAAGGUUCUUGCUGAAAUGUUCUCUCUAGCCUCAAAACCAGCUCUGUUUUGUCUAACUGCCAACAUGUUUCUCAAUUCUGUAGCUCCGUGUUACUUGUUGGUCAACCAAGUCUACAGGUUUAUUGAGAGAUGAUUACAACAUAACAUUGUAUAAAUGUAAGGUGAAAACCCAUUUUGGAAUGGAAGAAGCAAUAUGGUGGUUCCAAGAGGCAAGAUUUAUCAAUAUUAAAUUCAUGCUGUGCAAUCAAUAGGAAGGAGGAAGAACAUGAAAAGUUAC